rnacentral:rRNA from 1 species
GUGAGGAAUUUUCCGCAAUGGGCGAAAGCCUGACGGAGCAAUGCCGCGUGAAGGAUGAAGGCCUAUGGGUUGUAAACUUCUUUUCUCAGAAAAGAAUUAUGACGGUAUCUGAGGAAUAAGCAUCGGCUAACUCUGUGCCAGCAGCCGCGGUAAGACAGAGGAUGCAAGCGUUAUCCGGAAUGAUUGGGCGUAAAGCGUCUGUAGGUUGUUUAAAAAGUAUUCUGUCAAAGAUUAGGGCUUAACCCUAGAUAGGAAGAAUAAACUUUUAAGCUAGAGUUUGGUAGAGGCAGAGGGAAUUCCCGGUGGAGCGGUGAAAUGCGUAGAUAUCGGGAGGAACACCAAAGGCGAAGGCACUCUGCUGGGCCAAUACUAACACUGAGAGACGAAAGCGAGGGGAGCAAAUGGGAUUAGAAACCCGGGUAGUCC